AUCCAGUCGACGAGUCUCGAAUAGGACGAAACGCGUCAUGGAU
rfam:Schistosoma haematobium scaffold77_17, whole genome shotgun sequence.